rnacentral:misc_RNA from 1 species
AACACUGUUAACCUGCGGUACCUGCGGAAGGAUCAUUAAAGAUUGACCGAAAGGUCUUAUCUCUAUAUCCCUCACCUCUGUGAACUGUGGACCUCCGGGUCUAUUUAACAAACAUCAGUGUAAUGAACGUAUAUAUCAUUAAACAAAACAAAACUUUCAGCAACGGAUCU